GGGUAGGGAAGGAGCGAGACUAUCUAGAUGCCCGUUACUGGCGUACCUGUAUGGUACUAUUUAAUAAGCACAUAAUAGGAUACUGGUGGUAUCUUCAAUUUGGAAAUCCUGCUAACAAUAGGCAUUGUGUAAUUCACUGAUACGGAUUACACGAGGACAGUAUGGCUGUAAUUGUAUUACGAAAAAUACUGCGAAAUGUUACGUGGCAACCUUUAUUUGCC